GAUGAACGCUGGCGGCGUGCUUAACACAUGCAAGUCGAACGGGGAACAUUUUAAAGAAGCUUCGGCAGAUUUAGUUUGUUCCUAGUGGCGGACGGGUGAGUAACGCGUGGGUAACCUGCCUCACACUGGGGGAUAACAGUCAGAAAUGACUGCUAAUACCGCAUAAGCGCACAGAGCCGCAUGGCUCAGUGUGAAAAACUCCGGUGGUGUGAGAUGGACCCGCGUUGGAUUAGCCAGUUGGCAGGGUAACGGCCUACCAAAGCGACGAUCCAUAGCCGGCCUGAGAGGGUGGACGGCCACAUUGGGACUGAGACACGGCCCAGACUCCUACGGGAGGCAGCAGUGGGGAAUAUUGCACAAUGGGGGAAACCCUGAUGCAGCGACGCCGCGUGAAGGAAGAAGUAUCUCGGUAUGUAAACUUCUAUCAGCAGGGAAGAAAAUGACGGUACCKAYU
rnacentral:rRNA from 1 species